rnacentral:miRNA from 1 species
UUGGCCAAAAAGUUCAUUCAGGUUUUUCCAUACCGUCUUACGGAAAAACCCAAACAAACUUUUUGGCGAA